GGCCGUAUAGCGUAGUGGUAGCGCAUGUACGUUCCAUAGGGCUUCUUCGGAUAUACGGUCCGCAGGGCCCCAAUUGUACAAGGUAUGGGUUCAAUUUCCAUUGUAGCCU